UACGUAGGGGGCAAGCGUUAUCCGGAUUUACUGGGUGUAAAGGGAGCGCAGGCGGUGAUGCAAGUCAGAAGUGAAAGCCCGCAGCUCAACUGCGGGACUGCUUUUGAAACUGUAUGACUAGAUUGCAGGAGAGGUAAGUGGAAUUCCUAGUGUAGCGGUGAAAUGCGUAGAUAUUAGGAGGAACACCAGUGGCGAAGGCGGCUUACUGGACUGUAAAUGACGCUGAGGCUCGAAAGCGUGGGUAGCAAACAGG
rnacentral:rRNA from 1 species